GAUUAAGUUAUUAAGGGCGCACGGUGGAUGCCUUGGCACUAGAAGCCUAUGAAGGACGUUACUAACGACGAUAUGCUUUGGGGAGCUGUAAGUAAGCUUUGAUCCAGAGAUUUCCGAAUGGGGAAACCCAGCAUGAGUUAUGUCAUGUUAUCGAUAUGUGAAUACAUAGCAUAUCAGAAGGCACACCCGGAGAACUGAAACAUCUUAGUACCCGGAGGAAGAGAAAGAAAAUUCGAUUCCCUUAGUAGCGGCGAGCGA
rnacentral:rRNA from 1 species